rnacentral:lncRNA from 10 species
GAUAUAUGUCUAUAUUGUGAAAUAAUUACCGCAAUCAAGUUAGUUAACACAUCUAUUUCCUUACCUAGUUACCGUGUGUGUGUCUCUGUGAUGAGAAUACUUGAGAUCUAGUAUCUUAGCAAAUUUCAAGUAUACAUUGUUAUCAAAUAAUGUCACUAUGCUACAUUAGAUCUCCAGAACUUACUCAUCUUAUGACAAAGUUUUAUCCUUUGACCAACAUCUCCCCAUAUCUCCUACCUCUUAGCCCCUGCAGCCACCAUUUUACUCUUUCUGUGAGUUCAUCUUUUUAAAAUUUGACAUAUAUAUACCCAGAAAUGGGCUUGCUGGAUUAUAUGGCAGUUCUAUUAUUAAUUUGUGGAGGAAUCUCCGUAAUGUUUUCCAUAAUGGCUUCUACCAACAGCGUACAAAGGUUCCCUUUUGCCCAUAUCCUUGCCAACACGUAUUAUCUGCUGUCUUUUUGAUAAUAGCCAUCUUAACAGGCAUGAAGUUAUAUCUCCUUGUUGUUUUAAUAAAAUCAC